UGCCAGACUCCUACGGGAGGCAGCAGUGGGGAAUAUUGCACAAUGGGGGAAACCCUGAUGCAGCGACGCCGCGUGAGCGAUGAAGUAUUUCGGUAUGUAAAGCUCUAUCAGCAGGGAAGAAAAUGACGGUACCUGACUAAGAAGCCCCGGCUAACUACGUGCCAGCAGCCGCGGUAAUACGUAGGGGGCAAGCGUUAUCCGGAUUUACUGGGUGUAAAGGGAGCGUAGACGGCAAUGCAAGCCAGAUGUGAAAGCCCGGGGCUCAACCCCGGGACUGCAUUUGGAACUGUGUAGCUGGAGUGUCGGAGAGGCAGGCGGAAUUCCUAGUGUAGCGGUGAAAUGCGUAGAUAUUAGGAGGAGCACCAGUGGCGAAGGCGGCCUGCUGGACGAUGACUGACGUUGAGGCUCGAAAGCGUGGGGAGCAAACAGGAUUAGAUACCCGUGUA
rnacentral:rRNA from 1 species